rnacentral:rRNA from 1 species
GCUUAACGUUGCGCGUGCAGUGGGUACGGGCUGACUAGAGUGCAGUAGGGGAGUCUGGAAUUCCUGGUGUAGCGGCGAAAUGCGCAGAUAUCAGGAGGAACACCGGUGGCGAAGGCGGGACUCUGGGCUGUAACUGACACUGAGGAGCGAAAGCAUGGGGAGCGAACAGGAUUAGAUACCCUGGUAGUCCAUGCCGUAAACGUUGGGCACUAGGUGUGGGGGACAUUCCACGUUCUCCGCGCCGUAGCUAACGCAUUAAGUGCCCCGCCUGGGGAGUACGGUCGCAAGGCUAAAACUCAAAGGAAUUGACGGGGGCCCGCACAAGCGGCGGAGCAUGCGGAUUAAUUCGAUGCAACGCGAAGAACCUUACCAAGGCUUGACAUACACUGGACCGUUCUGGAAACAGUUCUUCUCUUUGGAGCUGGUGUACAGGUGGUGCAUGGUUGUCGUCAGCUCGUGUCGUGAGAUGUUGGGUUAAGUCCCGCAACGUGCGCAACCCUCGUUCUAUGUUGCCAGCACGUGAUGGUGGGAACUCAUAGGAGACUGCCGGGGUCAACUCGGAGGAAGGUGGGGAUGACGUCAAAUCAUCAUGCCCUUUAUGUCUUGGGCUUCACGCAUGCUACAAUGGCUGGUACAGAG